rnacentral:rRNA from 1 species
AGAGAAGCGAAUCGGUGACGUGGAGCAAACCUCAGAAAGCCAAUCUCAGUUCGGAUUGUAGGCUGCAACUCGCCUACAUGAAGUUGGAAUCGCUAGUAAUCGCGAAUCAGAAUGUCGCGGUGAAUACGUUCCCGGGUCUUGUACACACCGCCCGUCACACCACGAGAGUUUACAACACCCGAAGUCAGUGGCCUAACCGCAAGGAGGGAGCUGCCUAAGGUGGGGUAGAUGAUUGGGGUGAAGUCGUAACAAGGUAUC